GCCCCCUACCUCCCGGACGGGGCGGCUGGCCCGGCGGGGGCUGAACCCCACCUCCAGGACGGGCGCGGCUGCCGGACGGAGACGCUCCUCACUUCCCAGAAGGGGCGGCUGCUGGGCGGAGGGACUCCUCAUUUCUCAGACAGGGCAGCAGUGUCCCAGGUAAUCUCCAUGAACUGCCUUCAGAAGAAUAGAUAAAACAUCCAUCUGGACAUGGUGACAUAUCUCUCAGUCUUUUCUCCAGUAGUUUAUUCUUUCUGAUCAUUUGAUGAGAUUCCUAGGAAGGAAAUCUUAAGACAAUUGCAUCUCUUUUGGAAAGAAGUUUCGCGAGAGACCUCCCCAACACCCCCCUCUACCCUUCCUGCUUUGAGGAAGAUGAUUUUAAGCUUCAUGAAGAAGAGAACUUUGUCUUAUUCACUGCUAUAUCCAAGGAAGAAAGAGCAGAUCCCAGCAUUUUUGUAAACACCGAAUAAGUAAUCUGUGAAUGAAUAAGUGAAUAAAAGCUGAGUUGUGUUGAGAAAU